rnacentral:rRNA from 1 species
AUACGGAGGGUGCAAGCGUUACUCGGAAUCACUGGGCGUAAAGCGCGCGCAGGCGGCUAUUUAAGUUGGAUGUGAAAGCCUACGGCUAAACCGUAGAACUGCAUCCAAAACUAUUUAGCUAGAGUGUGGGAGAGGAAGAUGGAAUUAGUUGUGUAGGGGUAAAAUCCGUAGAGAUAACUAGGAAUACCAAAAGCGAAGGCAAUCUUCUGGAACACUACUGACGCUGAGGCGCGAAAGCGUGGGGAGCAAACAGGAUUAGAAACCCCAGUAGUCC